UACGGAGGGUGCAAGCGUUAUCCGGAUUUACUGGGUUUAAAGGGUGUGUAGGCGGACUAUUAAGUCAGUGGUGAAAUCCCGAGGCUCAACCUCGGAACUGCCUUUGAUACUAUUAGUCUUGAAUGUUGUUGAGGUGGGCGGAACGGGUCAUGUAGCGGUGAAAUGCAUAGAUAUGACCCGGAACACCGAUUGCGAAGGCAGCCCGCUAAGCAACUAUUGACGCUGAGGCACGAAAGCGUGGGGAUCAAACAGGGAUUAGAACCUGACCAGU
rnacentral:rRNA from 1 species